CGUAAGAUGACUGUAGGUGAAAGCUUACAUCUCUUCGGAGCAUUUUACGAGGUGCUGCAUGGUUGUCGUCAGCUCGUGCCGUGAGGUGUCGGGUUAAGUCCCAUAACGAGCGCAACCCCUACCUUUAGUUGCCAUCAGGUUAAGCUGGGGACUCUAAAGGAACUGCCUACGCAAGUAGUGAGGAAGGCGGGGAUGACGUCAAAUCAGCACGGCCCUUACGUCCAGGGCUACACACGUGCUACAAUGGCCGAUACAGAGGGCAGCGACACUGCGAGGUGAAGCCAAUCCCGUAAAAUCGGUCUCAGUCCGGAUUGGAGUCUGCAACUCGACUCCAUGAAGUUGGAAUCGCUAGUAAUCGUGGAUCAGCAUGCCACGGUGAAUACGUUCCCGGGCCUU
rnacentral:rRNA from 1 species